rnacentral:rRNA from 1 species
UAGGGAAUCUUCGGCAAUGGACGAAAGUCUGACCGAGCAACGCCGCGUGAGUGAAGAAGGCUUUCGGAUCGUAAAACUCUGUCGUUAGAGAAGAACAAGGACGUUAGUAACUGAACGUCCCCUGACGGUAUCUAACCAGAAAGCUACGGCUAACUACGUGCCAGCAGCCGCGGUAAUACGUAGGUGGCAAGCGUUGUCCGGAUUUAUUGGGCGUAAAGCGAGCGCAGGCGGUUUCUUAAGUCUGAUGUGAAAGCCCCCGGCUCAACCGGGGAGGGUCAUUGGAAACUGGGAGACUUGAGUGCAGGAGAGGAGAGUGGAAUUCCAUGUGUAGCGGUGAAAUGCGUAGAUAUAUGGAGGAACACCAGUGGCGAAGGCGGCUCUCUGGUCUGUAACAGACGCUGAGGCUCGAAAGCGUGGGGAGCGAACAGG